AAAGACAAAAAAAAAAAAAAAAAGAAUUUUAGUGCCCAAUUCUGAGAUACUAAGCUAAGUUAGUCCAUGUGCUUGGGUUUACAUGCUUCAUUAUAAAACUAGAGAAUGGCCUAACUAAUUCUUUUAAAUUCAAUGAUUCAAUCUUUUGUGUAUUAGGAAAAUAAUGCCCUUCAUGGUCUAAGGAUAUGUAAGAAUCUUGGUUUCACUCACUCUCUAGAACACACACGCUUAUCCCAUCUCUAGUACACACACAUACACACACUACAUAUGUAUAUUGUAAACAGAUUCGCUGUAUUGGGUUUAAUUCCAAAUACAUUCAAGUGUAUAUGAAUACAAAUAUAUAUGUAUUAUGUAUGCAUUCAUAAGUAUGUAUUGUUAUGUAUUCCUACUUACAGCAUGUCUUUCAACAAUUUAUAAAGAUCUAACAUUAAAGCAAGAAUUUUCCAACACUGCUUUUAAAUAAUUUGCUUUUUUAUUAUAAAAGUAAUGCAUGCACAUUCAGAGUAUUUAGUGCAAUGGAUUAUACCAAUCUUCCUCUCUCUUUUCCGCCAACAUUUCUGAGAUUUUUAGUUAGGUGUCUUAGUUUAAUGGUUAAACUUUUGGCAAAUUGCAUGUGAAUGCGAAUUACUCAUAUCCUGGAUUGCCUUUUAUCCUUGUUUAUCUACAUUAAAUAAAGUCCAUAAUGGUCAAAGCUUAAUCAUUCACUUUACAGAAGAAAUUUAGUUAAUAAAAAUAAUUCUCUUGACUCUAAAGUCUAGAAUCCUAACCAUGGCACUGAGGUAAAAUAAACGUGAAUAUACUAUAACUGCAGAAGGAAUUAGCAUGUUAUAUCAAGAGUUCUUAACAGGAAACACUAUUGUCAGCCAGUAUUAAUCACCUAGGGCACAGAAUAAAAACUUUCAUUAAAUCUUCAAUGGGCUUACAAAAGAAAACACAUGAUUCCAUGCAUCACUCUAUACAGAUCCAAAUCUCAUCAAACAAAUAUUUAAGUAGUCUAAAUUCCCUUCUGCAUGUUAUUUUGUUUCCUUUUGCUUGGGUUUACAGAUUGAGAAUGGAGACACUGAAACUGACCUUUGGUUGUGAUAGAACUUUCUUUAGACACCUAAAUAUGAUGGGUUACUAUAGAUUUCAAAUUCCUUUCGGAAUAUGGGGUAUGUUACCACUAGGUCACUCUAAAACAAUGAGUGCCCAAAGCAACUGCAACUGGAUUUGGGAUAAAACGGGUAGAAGUCCCUUUAUUCUUGAGCACCAAGGUAAAAAUACAUCCCUGUCCUAAGCAGCCCAGUCACUACUGGGAUGGCAGGCGAGGGAGAGGUGGUCUUUUGUGGGAGAGGGCAGGGCUGGUGACAACCUAGGGAACAAGGCAGGGACUGCAGGGAACUAGACAAGAGGAUGAAGAAGGCGAGAAAAGGGAAGGGUGACUGAGUGAGUGGCCUUAAGUAGAGCCUCUCAAACUUCACAGCCCAUUACGGCUUUUAAAAAUCCGACUCCGGACCGGGUCAGAGGAAUUAGGCCAGGCCUCUGGCAGUGAAACCCAGGCAUCAGCAGUUUUAAACUGAGGCCACUGUGAACGUAAGUUUGGGGGCCAGAAGACCAGAGGCAGUGACCAGCAGAGAGGAGGAGCGCCAGCCAGGGACCCGGGAAUUAGCCGGGCCGGGGAAAGCCCGAAGGCUCCGCCUCUUCCUGCGGCCGGGAGGAGACGCCGAGAGCCCGACAUGAGGCUCCUCCAGGGACAGCCGGGGUUAGCAGAGAUUAUGAUGAAGGUAAAGACCAAUGUUGGCAAGAACACGGGGAAAGGAACAAUCUCAUGCUUAGUUGCUGGAGAAAUAAGAAAAGGGAGACAUAGAAAGGAUUAGAAACUUACCUUAAGUACUUUAACUCAAAAGUGGAAGAGCUGGGAUACAAAUCCAGAGAAGUGUUCACCUUAAGCAUCAAAGCCUGAACCCUCCCCGCUAGCCUCCCACCCCCACUCUGAGGAGGACAAGAUGUGAGAAGAAAGAAGGAGGCAAGAGUCAGAUUUUUUUCUGCUCCUGUGGGAUCCUGCUGACUGAAAUAUUUACAAGUAUGGAAAUGGCACAGAGGAAGUCCACUUACUGCUGGAGAAGAAAGGUCGGAAUUGGGCUUGUAGCAUCCUCAGUGAGCCAGCUCAGAAGGCUUCUUUGCCCUGACCUAGCUCCAGGCAAGUAGCUAUCAGGCCUGUUUGGGGUAAGCGAUACAAAGAAGAUAAAACACCAACAGCAGUUUUAAAGUCAGAACUGCUGCUUGAGUUGCCACACUCCCAGCAGAAUAAUACAGCCAUGUUUUGGAGGAUUUUCAUGAGAUGAAAUUUUAACAGGUAUAUUAGAAAGACUGAGGGAAGUAACUCUAUAAAAGUUUAAAGUCCGUGCAUAGUGGUAGAUUUUAAAUCCAUAGUCAAGGCUUUGUUUUGACUACCAUCUGACUUUCAAAGACAUUUCUAUUGUAAAUUAAUAAACUUUUAUAAUGACGAGAUAUUUUCUGGCUUAAGAAAUCAAUCAUGAAAUUGGUAAUCUAUAAAUAAUUUAUAAACAUAAAACUGCUAUUGUUGCUACUGUUUUUUCUAUUUAUCAGCAAUAUUUUUCAUAUUCUUAUUGUCCAUUGAAUUUGACUUGAAUAGUAAUGUUUAUUUGCAUAUGUUUUUGCAUGUGCCAACUUUGAGUGUUAGGGUGAGUUAUAUCAGACCUCCUAUUUAGAAAUAUUGACAUUAAGUAAAGACAAACAAAGGGAACCAAGGAAUUGACUCCGAGAGUUCACUAGAUUAAUCUGUUAUCAGAACCAGGAACAUAUAUUUAGAAUUUGCCUUUCUCAAACUAUAUCAAGCCCCAUCUAUAGUUCUAGAUAACUUUUUUAGCCUGAACAUAUAUUCGUAUAUGAGGGAAUAUGGCAAAUAACCCCAUGCCAAUCAAUGACAGGAACAGCUGAGAUGACACAAAUAGACUCAACAACAUCAAUGAUAAUGUAUAUUCCCUGUAGAUAGAACAAUCUCUCCCACAUAGUGGUAAUAUUUGGUCCUUAGCUAAUAUUUGAUAUUUUACUUCUCAGGAGAGCGUCCCAUCCUCUGAUCUCUCUUCUGAGUUGGGAAUUACUAGUUGCUCAUGCUGUGAUUCUGUUUAUCUGUUAGAGAAGACAGGAAGGGGUUUCACCUCUUUCGCAUUUUUAUACAUCAUUUGUGACUGAAUAACCUAUAUUAAAGUGAUUAAAAUUUGUAUCGGACACCAUUCAUGCAUACACCCAUCUUCUUCAGGUUUAUUCUGACUCUGUGUUUGUGUUUAGUAGUGUUGAUAGGGAAGAUAAUAAGUACAUCCAGGUAUAUUUUGACAAAACACAUUAAUGUCAUAAAAUAACAUUUGAUACUUUUCUAUUUUAAGCCAAAAAAGAUCAUUCAUCACUUAAUCUAUUAAAGCUGAAUUGACUUGAGAAUAUGUUUAUUUCCUUUUAAAAAGAAUUGUAUUGGCAUAUA